CCAAUCGAACCCGGAGAUAGCUGGUUCUCCUCGAAAUAGCUUUAGGGCUAGCCUCAUACAAGUCUGCCGGAGGUAGAGCACUGAAUUUCCGCGGGGGCGUCAAAGCCUACCAAAGAAUAUCAAACUCCGAAUGCCGGACAGAUGGUGUAUGGGAGUCAGACUGUACGAGAUAAGUUGGACAGUCAAAAGGGAAAGAGCCCAGACCGCCGGCUAAGGUCCCAAAGUGGGUGUUAAGUGGAAAAGGAUGUGGGAUCUCUAAGACAACCAGGAUGUUGGCUCAGAAGCAGCCAUUCAUUAAAAGAGUGCGUAACAGCUCACUGGUCGAGAGGUCCUGCGCCGAAAAUGUCCGGGGCUGAAACACCACACCGAAGCCGCGGAACCCGUAAGGGUUGGUAGAGGAGCAUUCUUAGGGGAGCGAAGCAUUACCGGAAGGGGAUGUGGACCGCUAAGAAGAGAGAAUGCCGGAAUGAGUAGCGAGAGCAAGGUGGGAAUCCUUGCGGCCGAAUAUCCAAGGUUUCCAGAGUAAAGCUGAUCUGCUCUGGGUAAGUCGGGGCCUAAGGCGAGGUCGAAAGACGUAGUCGAUGGAUAACAGGUUGAAAUUCCUGUACCGCAUAUAAACAGAACUGUGGGGACACAGACAGGGAAUGGAAUCCGGGAGUGGAGAUCCCGGUGCAAGCGAGGUAGGAGUGCUGUUGGCAAAUCCGCAGCACGAUCUGAAGACGUGACGCGUACCGAACAUAAGUAGGGAAGUCCAGGCCCCUGGCUGUCAAGAAAAGCCGCUAUUGUUUUAUAUGUGCCCGUACCGCAAACCGACACAGGUGGAUGAGGAGAGAAUCCUAAGGCCGACGGGAGAAGUAUUGUUAAGGAACUCGGCAAAAUGACUCCGUAACUUCGGGAGAAGGAGUGCCAUGAGAGUGGCCGCAGAGAAAUGGCCCAAGCAACUGUUUAGCAAAAACACAGGUCUAUGCAAAACCGCAAGGUGAAGUAUAUGGGCUGACGCCUGCCCGGUGCUGGAAGGUUAAGGGGAGAGGUUAGCGCAAGCGAAGCUUUGAACUUAAGCCCCAGUAAACGGCGGCCGUAACUAUAACGGUCCUAAGGUAGCGAAAUUCCUUGUCGGGUAAGUUCCGACCCGCACGAAAGGCGUAA
rnacentral:rRNA from 1 species